UCAGAGUCGGUCAAUGUCAUUACCCUUGAGUUAGGAUAUGGGAAUACCGAUGUUAA
rnacentral:sRNA from 1 species